AUUGGACGCUGGCGGCAGGCUUAACACAUGCAAGUCGAGCGGGGACUUCGGUCCUAGCGGCGAACGGGUGAGAAAUGCUUGGGAAUCUGCCCAGUAGCCGGGGAUAACGUUUCGAAAGGAACGCUAAUACCGCAUACGCCCUACGGGGGAAAGGGGGGGAUCUUCGGACCUCUCACUAUUGGAUGAGCCCAAGUCGGAUUAGCUAGUUGGUGGGGUAAAGGCCUACCAAGGCGACGAUCCGUUGCUGGUCUGAGAGGAUGAUCAGCCACACUGGAACUGAGACACGGGCCAGACUCCUACGGGAGGCAGCAGUGGGGAAUAUUGGACAAUGGGCGCAAGCCUGAUCCAGCAAUGCCGCGUGCAGGAAGAAGGCCUUCGGGUUGUAAACUGCUUUUGUACGGAACGAAACGGCUCUCUCUAAUACAGAGGGCUAAUGACGGUACCGUAAGAAUAAGCACCGGCUAACUACGUGCCAGCAGCCGCCGUAAAAC
rnacentral:rRNA from 1 species